GACGUAGGGUCCGAGCGUUGUCCGGAAUUAUUGGGCGUAAAGAGCUCGUAGGCGGCUUGUCGCGUCGACUGUGAAAACCCGCGGCUCAACUGCGGGCCUGCAGCCGAUACGGGCAGGCUAGAGUCCGGAAGAGGCGAGUGGAAUUCCUGGUGUAGCGGUGGAAUGCGCAGAUAUCAGGAGGAACACCAAUAGCGAAGGCAGCUCGCUGGGACGGUACUGACGCUGAGGUGCGAAAGCGUGGGGAGCAAACAGG
rnacentral:rRNA from 1 species